UACGGAGGGGACUAGCGUUGUUCGGAAUUACUGGGCGUAAAGCGCACGUAGGCGGCCCGAUAAGUCGGAUGUGAAAUCCCUCGGCUCAACCGAGGACGUGCAUUCGAAACUGUCGGGCUCGAGUAUGGAAGGGGGUCGCGGAAUUCCCGGUGUAGAGGUGAAAUUCGUAGAUAUCGGGAGGAACACCAGUGGCGAAGGCGGCGACCUGGGCCAAUACUGACGCUGAGGUGCGAAAGCGUGGGGAGCAAACAGG
rnacentral:rRNA from 1 species